CCUACGGGAGGCAGCAGUAGGGAAUCUUCCACAAUGGGCGAAAGCCUGAUGGAGCAACGCCGCGUGGGUGAAGGAGGUCUUCGGAUCGUAAAACCCUGUUGUUAGAGAAGAAAGUGCGUGAGAGUAACUGUUCACGUUUCGACGGUAUCUAACCAGAAAGCCACGGCUAACUACGUGCCAGCAGCCGCGGUAAUCCGUAGGUGGCAAGCGUUAUCCGGAUUUAUUGGGCGUAAAGGGAACGCAGGCGGUCUUUUAAGUCUGAUGUGAAAGCCUUCGGCUUAACCGGAGUAGUGCAUUGGAAACUGGGAGACGUGAGUGCAGAAGAGGAGAGUGGAACUACAGGUGUAGCGGUGAAAUGCGUAGAUAUAUGGAAGAACACCAGUGGCGAAAGCGGCUCUCUGGUCUGUAACUGACGCUGAGGUUCGAAAGCGUGGGUAGCAAACAGGAUUAGAUACCCUUGUAGUC
rnacentral:rRNA from 1 species